GAAUGUACUUUCCUCUUAGCCAGAAUCGGUCACCAGGGCAGCUUCUAAGCAGCAGCAGCAAAGCUUCCCUCCCCUACAGGGGAGGCAGCUGGGACCCACGCACCAAUCUGCUCCAUCCUGACCCUCAGAUAAGAAACUGGAGGUAUCUGAGCUGCUGGACUAACACCUGCUGUUCUAGAAGGGAGAACAGGGGACAGGGAGGACCUGUGUCUUAUUCGGAGCUGGACACAGGAGAUGCACAGGGUGCUGUCCUGGACGAGAAGAGGAUGAAGCCCUGAGUUCCACGCCUCUCCGUGCCUGCUUAACCUCUCGGCCUGGCAUUCCCCUCUGGUGCAGGAGCUGUGGCACACUUUCACCUUUCCACUGGGAGCGCACAGCCCAACCUGUCCCUCAUCUCCUGCCAAAACACAAUGGGGAGAAGGUUCUAGAAGCUGCUUUGCUAUGCACAAAUGCUCUUUCGGAGUCUUCCACAGACAGAAAAUACGUUUCCAUGUAUUUUUCACAAUAUGAAUUAAAAUUCAAAAGGAAGCAAGCAAGCUUCACACUAGUGUUAACUCUUUGUCACUGUUUCCUAAAACUGCUAAACAAACAAGGCACCACGUCUCCUUCCUGGGACACAGCUCAACUCUCGCUUCCACUGCUGUGGCCACACCACCGUACACAGCCCUGCUGGGUAAGGCUCAGUUGCUUCCAUGUGAAUUUUCUCCCACAAGUUUCAAACACUUGGGAAGUACCAACACCAUGUUAUCAAGCAGUUUCUUUCUUUUUUUGAGACGGAGUCCCACUCUCUCAUCCAGGCUGGAGUGCGAUGGUGUGACCUCAGCUCACUGCAACCUUCACCUCCCAGGUUCAACCGAUCCUCCUGCCUCAGCUUCAUGGGUUGCUCAGAUUACAGGUGCAUACCACCACAUCCGGCUAAUUUUGUUUUGUAUUUUAGUAGUGAUGGGGUUUCACCAUGUGGCUCAGGCUGGUCUUGAACGCCUGAGCUCAGGCAAUCCACCCACCUCAAUCUCCCAAAGUGAGCCAAUGCACCCAGCCACAAGCAGCUUCUUUUUUAAAAAUUACCUGUUGUGAUACUUUAAAAAUGAAAGAGAUUGGUACUUAUACAGCUAACCCAAAAAUAAAUGGGCCAGGCACAGCGGCUCAUGCCUACAAUCCCAGCACUUUGGGAUGCCAAGGCGGGUGGAUCACCUGAGGUUAGGGGUUCGAGACCAGCCUGACCAACGUGGUGAAACCCUAUCUCUACUAAAUAUAAAAAAUUAGCCAGUGUGGUGGCAUAUGCCUGUAAUCCCAGCUACUUGGGAGGCUGAGGCAGGCGAAUCACUUGAACCCGAAGGUGAAGGUUGCAGCGAGCUGAGACCGUGCCAUUGUACUCCAGCCUGGGCAACAUGAGCGAAACUCCAUCUCAAAAGAACAAACAAAUAAAUAAUAUGAAUAACAACAGGUAUCUGCACGUUUUCUAUGAGUAAUUCCUGCCUUGACCUGGCCUCCUUCCUUCCCUAAGAAAAUCAUCCUGUUAUUCCUUGGGAGCUCGUAGGACCUCUGACUGGGGAGAGAAAGAAACCGAGGCAGGGGCUGCCUGACUCUCCAAGCUCCUCAGCAGAUCCUGGCAGAAGUCAUGUCCUCUCGGUGUGAUGUCAUACAGAUUGCCACUAGCCACAAGCUGCAUGAAUUUACUCUCCGUAAGUAAACAGAGAGAAAAAAACCCUCGCGGUGUGUGAAGAUAGCCCCAAGAGGGGGAGAUCUUGUAAAAGUCAAAAAGACUGUGGCUUCUGUGACUUCACUGCACACAGUCAGCUGGACGUCUCGCCCAUCUCAGCGGGAGGAUUGUCUUGAGACAGUGGAAACAGCGAAGGGCUUGGAAACAGUAAGCUAUUUCAGGUAACACUUUCCGUUGCCAAACCAGCGAUAGCAGCACUUCAGACUGUCACUUUUUAUAAUGUUUGCCUAUAAACUUUUCCCGUGUGGUUUUUGAAAUGGCGCCCAAAUGCAAACAGAGAACAGAUGGGAAACCUGAGUCUUGCCCCGGCCAAUCACUUCGCGGAGAACGGACAACAGAUUUAAACUGUUAAGGAAGAAGAAAGCAGUUUCUACCAACGGCAAAGCUCACUCCAUUGCUUUGCACAGAUGAAGCCUUUUCUGAGGUUUCCCAGGGAUGGUGUCUUUUCCGCCGUCUCGAUCACCCCAGUUCCCAGGAUGUGGUGGGGUCACCCUGGACACAUCCCACAG